GAUGAACGCUGGCGGCAUGCCUAAUACAUGCAAGUCGAGCGAACAGACGAGGAGCUUGCUCCUCUAACGUUAGCGGCGGACGGGUGAGUAACACGUGGAUAACCUACCUAUAAGACUGGGAUAACUUCGGGAAACCGGAGCUAAUACCGGAUAAUAUAUUGAACCGCAUGGUUCAAUAGUGAAAGACGGUUUUGCUGUCACUUAUAGAUGGAUCCGCGCCGCAUUAGCUAGUUGGUAAGGUAACAGCUUACCAAGGCAACGAUGCGUAGCCGACCUGAGAGGGUGAUCGGCCACACUGGAACUGAGACACGGUCCAGACUCCUACGGGAGGCAGCAGUAGGGAAUCUUCCGCAAUGGGCGAAAGCCUGACGGAGCAACGCCGCGUGAGUGAUGAAGGUCUUCGGAUCGUAAAACUCUGUUAUUAGGGAAGAACAAAUGUGUAAGUAACUAUGCACGUCUUGACGGUACCUAAUCAGAAAGCCACGGCUAACUACGUG
rnacentral:rRNA from 1 species